CUUGCAACCCACUCCCCUAAAGAACCCUCAGUGAUGUCUGGUCCCUGUUGAAGUGGGAAAACACACUACUGGUAUCAGUUGGUAAGGAAGGGAAAAUGACUGGAAGGGACAGUGCCUUAUUUCCAUGUGCCUGUGGGAAAAGACAUAGAUGAAAACAAUAAAUGAGGGAUUUUUUAAAUAUUCAUCUAAUAUCUCAACAAAAUACUUUGGUUUGCCUUUUUCCUGUAGACUUACAGCUGUGUAUAGGAACACCAAUGUUUUAUGAAGGGUAGUAGCAUUCAUAACAGACCUUUGUUCAUCUCAGAAGAAAAUACGAUAAAGAGCCAGCUUCUGUCAUACAGAAAACACACAAGAUGAUUGUUAAAGGUGUUCCAACAUGGGAUAGUGCCACAGAAAGGCCCUGCACGGAUAAUUCAUCUCUGUUGCCUUGGAGUCAAUUAGGAUCAAGCCUAGCUAAAAUCAAAGAAAUUAAUAGUGUUGACUUCAGCAAAACUAUGGAUGACGCUCACUGCAAUCAAUGAAUGCUGUUGUCCAUCACUUUCGCGAGCACUGCUCUUAGUCUAAAAUUAUAAGUAUUAUCUCCCGGAAUUUUAACCUUGAAAAAAGGGUGCAUCCGUCAGAACUACUUUUUAAGAGCUAUCUUGAGAAGUCUAGCAGAUAGCAGUAUUGCAUACUCAAGGAUCCUUGUAUUAGGAGUUUCAUAAAUAUUGUAUAUAUUGGGUGUGUAAUGUGCUGAAUUGGUUCCUCUGCAGCAGUGAGAUUCAUCAUGUCAACGAUUAAUGGUUUAAGGCUCUGAAAGAAUAAACUGAAGCAUUAGGAAUGUAAUGGGCUCUAAAGGACUGCAGUUGUCUUAUGUGGUACAGAGCUGCAGAAAAUGAGGGGUCUCAUGCUGUGCAGCUGUAACAAGAAUGGUUCCAGAAGAGCUGCUUCUUAGAAGGAAAAUGUAGAUAUUCGCGUUUAAUUUUUUAUCAUAUUAUUUUCUUUAACCCUAUGCUAUUAAAAAAGCAAAACCCCCAAAGACCUUCCAUCAACUGCCUGGACUAUAGAAUAACAGGUAGAGAGAAUAAUCUAGUGGUUAGACUGUGGGCCUGAGGCUUGAUUGCCUGAGGCUUGAUUCUUCUCUCACUACAGUCUGACCAUUCUGGAGAUGUGUCUUUUGUUUCCAGUUCUGCCAGCGAUUGGUAGUGUGACCUCUGGCAAAGACACUUACCCUCUCUUGUAUUGUUUCCCCUUUGUAAAAUAAAGAAAAAUAGUUAACCCACUUCAGUCAGAGCUUUAAAUUAGGUACGUAACAACAUAGCAUCAUAUGUUGUUAUAUGAACAACGUAUCAUGCGGAAUACUGUAACUACAUGCCAUGUAAACAUUGUGUGGCAGCAGUUGCAUCUAGGUACCGAGGUAGGCCUCUUUUUUGAAGCAUGAGUACAUUACAGGUAAGUUGGUAUUAGCAGUAACUAAAAUACUAAAUUCUGCUAGACUUUUGCUGGCUCUGUGUACAGAGUACUCUCGUCCUCA
rnacentral:lncRNA from 1 species